rnacentral:rRNA from 1 species
GCGAGCAACGUGCCAGCGCGGGUGGGAGUAGGGAGGGUGGAGGGGUUGUCCGGAAGUAUUGGGCGUAAAGAGCUCGUAGGCGGCUGGUUGCGUCUGCUGUGAAAUCCCGGGGCUUAACCCCGGGCGGGCAGUGGAUACGGGCCGGCUGGAGGCAGGCAGGGGAGAAGGGAAUUCCCGGUGUAGCGGUGAAAUGCGCAGAUAUCGGGAGGAACACCGGUGGCGAAGGCGGUUCUCUGGGCCUGUUCUGACGCUGAGGAGCGAAAGCGUGGGGAGCGAACAGGAUUAGAUACCCUUGUAGUC